rnacentral:rRNA from 1 species
AUUCCAGCUCCAAUAGCGUAUAUUAAAUUUGUUGCAGUUAAAAAGCUCGUAGUUGGAUUUCUGGCGUCGCCGCCCGGUUGGCCUCGAAAGGGGUAUGUACUGGGGCGCGCGUUGCCAUCCUCGGGGGAAGGUCGUCUGGCAUUAAGUUGUCGGACGGUCGACGCUCGUCGUUUACUGUGAACAAAUUAGAGUGUUCAAAGCAGGCUUAGGCCGUUGAAUACAUUAGCAUGGAAUAAUGAGAUAGGACUUUGGUGGUCUAUUUUGUUGGUUUGCACGCCGAAGUAAUGAUUAAUAGGGGCGGUUGGGGGUAUUCGUAUUCAAUUGUCAGAGGUGAAAUUCUUGGAUUUAUGGAAGACGAACUACUGCGAAAGCAUUUACCAAGGAUGUUUUCAUUG